GAACGCUGGCGGCAUGCCUAACACAUGCAAGUCGAACGAGAUCUUCGGAUCUAGUGGCGCACGGGUGAGUAACGCGUGGGAACCUACCUUUUAGUACGGGACAACGUUUGGAAACGAAUGCUAAUACCGUAUACGCCCUCCGGGGGAAAGGUCAGCCGCUGAAAGAGGGGCCCGCGUCUGAUUAGCUUGUUGGUAAGGUAACGGCUUACCAAGGCAACGAUCAGUAGCUGGUCUGAGAGGAUGAUCAGCCACACUGGGACUGAGACACGGCCCAGACUCCUACGGGAGGCAGCAGUGGGGAAUAUUGGACAAUGGAGGCAACUCUGAUCCAGCAAUGCCGCGUGUGUGAUGAAGGCCCUAGGGUUGUAAAGCACUUUCAACGGUGAAGAUGAUGACGGUAGCCGUAG
rnacentral:rRNA from 1 species